CUUUACUCUAGGUGGCGACAGAGCACGGUGACUGGAGAUGUGACAGGUAUUUCUCAUCAAGCCUCAUCAUCUGAGCAGUAUAAGAGGAGCCUGCUCUCUGUACUUCGGUGCCUGAGUGUUAACCUGACUGGUGUGUCCUGGAUUCCCCUCCAGUUCGCUACCUGGUUUCCUGCCAACUUCAAGUAUUCCAGAAAACCUAUUCAGACAAACUCCAGCUGGCUGCAUUGUGGUUCCUCUCCUGAGAAAUCCUACAACAAACCCUGCUCACCCUCCACCGUGCUCGCCACCCCAAGUGCCCACACGAGUGAUAUACUUACCUCCUGGAAAUCACCUCCCUCACGCAAACGGUUGUCAGCUUGACCCCGGUCCAUCAUCUGUGGGCAGUACUCGUCCUCCCAGAUGCCGCGCCCUUCUUCCCCCCCCUGGUGUUUCAUCUACCUUCUACCUUCGAGGUCCUCCUGGUCCCGGAUUCCUGCAAAAAUUAUCUUACUGUUACAAUAAACCUGUUAAACCUUC